UUGCCCGAUGAUUAUAAAAAGACGCGAAGAGGACUUAAGCUGGAAUUUCUUUUCCUUUUUUUCUCUCUUUCCUGUACUUCUUUUUUCUCUCUUUGGAUGUCCAGCGUCCUAUGAGCGAAGAUUAUGAGAUAUGAGGGCAA
ensembl:snoRNA Gm23262 predicted gene, 23262